AUUCUCCUGCCUCAGCCUCCCCAGUAGCUGGGACUAUAGGCACUCGCCACCACAGCUGGCCAAUUUUUGUAUUUUGUAUUUUUGGUAGAGACGGGGUUUCACCAUGUUGGCCAGGCUGGUCUCGAACUUCUGACAUUGUGAUCUGCCCACCUCGGCCUCCCAAAGUGCUGGGAUUACAGGUGAAGUUUUAGUACAGCGUGGUGACCUUGGAAAGCCUGUUCUGCUUCUGACAAAAGUGGCCUGAGCCUGUGGGUACACAGUGUUAUUGGGACUAGCUGUGCAUAAAAGAUCCUCCUCCAGAUCCAGCUUCAACAGGACCUUGAAGCAGCUGGGAAAUCAAAGCUUCAAAUCGUAAAGUAACAUGUGGAGGCGACACAAAUAUUAUUUGCUGGGAGUGAGAGAGGGAUUUAUUUUUACAUUUUUUCUUAGCUGUUUCCCAAGAAGAUAUCCACAUCAUCUACAAAUAAUGACAACUUUGUGUUUUUACCAACAUAUAUCAGAUUUUUUUCUCUUUACAACUCAUUCCACUAGAAAGAAAUUGUA